ACUCCCAUUCUCACCAUAGUACAAAGGGUAUAUUGAUAAUAUUUUCAAUAACCCUUAAUCAAAGGAAUUCAAAGAAAUACAACAUGGGCCCACAAACGGUCCAAAAAUUCAUUUCCAUAUCUCCAAAAAUUUCUCCCAAACAUGGGCCUAGUCUUCACUUUCCCUCAAUUUCAUUUUUUGCACAUCCAACAUAUCAAUGAUCCCUCUCAUCUUCAUCCUCUAUAAUCAAUGGUGAUAAAGAAUGACUGUGACUUUUUCUUUUAUGGCUGUAGGAAUGCUUGUUGAAAUUUCCAACCGGCAGAAGCCUUUUUUGCUUGACAAGUGAGAAAGAUGGUUUAAGAAUUUAUUGCACUUAGGGAGUUUAAGGAUUUCAUUACUUGAUGUCUUUAGAAAGACCCUGCAAAGAGGUAGACCACUAGGCCACUAUUGUUCCAUCAUUAUAUCUUUCAAUAUGGUUCUCUGAUUCAGGUGCAUCAGUCUAAUCUAUUCUUCCUUUACCUCGUCAUCUUUCAUCUUCUUGAUUGUUGCUUUUAGAUAAUUUUUUCACUUAUUAAUUUUGUGGGUUGGAUUCUGGUUUGCAAUUGUGGGUCUAAACUGAUUAUAGAAUCUGAAUAUUACAAAAAUUUUGAUUAAGUGAUGUAUUUGAGAUUGGUGCCAGUACCUAAAUACAUGUUCCAACAAAGUAGGAUUUGCUUCAUGUUAAGGGCAAGGCAGGGAUAGAUAUACAAGUUAUUGCUUUUAUUAUCAAGUACCAAUGAACCAAGAUUUACAUUCCUUGACACCCCUAACACAAGCAAUUUCUAAGAAUAUUUUUGUUGCAUUCUUUUUAUGCUGCAUUUUGAAGCUUUCAUAGGCAUUUUUUUCAAUGGUUAUCAGAAUUACAACUUCAAGAGAAACAUUUACAUUAUGUUCGGUGAUUCAAGUUGAAAAAGGAGUUGGAUUGUUGAUUGUCUUUAGCAAUCUCAUCAUUCAUCUUCAUACUCUUUGGCUCUGGGUUCUCAGUCUCUCACUGUUAAACUUUUUGAUUGAACAAGUUUUAUCUUAACUACUCAUUUUCCCAUUUUUGUUUACCUGUGGAGGAUUUUUAAAUCUUAAUUCUGUUUGUUGUGAAAAGAGAAACAUUCUUUGAUUGAUUUUCUCGAUUGUACCAAGGCUAAUUUAAUACAUUAAUUUGUCUCUAUUUUGCCAAGAAUGAAAUAUCUUAAAACUUAUCCAUAUUCAUGAAUCUUGGACCAAUAUGAUAAAUAUCUAUCUCUAUUGACUGAGGGAAACUUCUCCUGAUUGAUGAUCAAUCGAUAUGAAUUCUUUUGAUUGUAGAAAUGCUAUGUGAGGUCAAGUAAUCUCAUAGAACUUUCUUACUGUACAGUAUUUUAUCACUUUGAUUUGAUUUUUUUGUGUGUUUUUAUCUUCACAUUAUUUCACUGAUGAAUAAAAAAAGGCAAAAUGUACAGAAUCAAAAGCGAAAAGGGAAAUGAAAGCAAAAAAUACUAAUACACCAAAACGUCCUCUGGCUUCCUCCUUCCUUUUCAUGUGCAAUUUCUUUUCCUUUCAUUUUCUAUAUUGCACAAGCUUGAGUAAUUUAUUUGAUGUUAUGUUCGAUGUUAAUCAUUACAGGGAUGAUUUUAGGAAAGAGUACAAGGAGAGUAAUUUUGAUUGCAAAAGUGUAAAAGAUGUGAAAUUCUUAAAGGUUUUCUACUAUGCAUUUCAAUUCUAGGUUUCUAUCAUGACAUGUUUGGUUUCUGGAAUAUUAGGUAGCCAAGGACGGUGUUGAGAAAUGGUAAUCCAUGACUAUUGAAGUGAGUUUUUUUGCUUCAAUGAUCACUAGGAAAAACAAUUCUAUCAAGAUAGAGCCGUAGAACUGAAAGCAAAAUAUGUAAAGGCCAUGAAGGCAACUCUACAUUUAUUUGUUUUAUGUUGAGAACACCAGUGACUGAAUUGAGUGUAAUGUUAUUUAUAA